CCGACCUUAGCUCAGCUGGAAGAGCGCGAGACUGUAACGGAUGAAUUAAUGAUUACGUAAUGUUGAUCUUGAGGUCGCCUGUUCGAGCCAGGCAGGUCGGA